rnacentral:rRNA from 1 species
UACGAAGGGGGCUAGCGUUGCUCGGAAUUACUGGGCGUAAAGCGCACGUAGGCGGUCUUUUAAGUCGGGGGUGAAAUCCUGGAGCUCAACUCCAGAACUGCCUUCGAUACUGGAAGACUUGAGUCCGGGAGAGGUGAGUGGAACUGCGAGUGUAGAGGUGAAAUUCGUAGAGUAUUCGCAAGAACACCAGUGGCGAAGGCGGACUCACUGGCCCGGUACGU